UGAAAACGGAAAAAUAAAUCAAUUAGUCGAUAACUUUAGUUUUCCCCAGAUUUAGAUCCGAACUCCGCUUUUCUUGAUCUAAAUAUAUUCAAAAUUAACUUAUUUAAUAAUAUCUCUAUUCAAUUUAAUCCAAAACACACAUUUAAGCACAUUUACACUUUUACCCCUAGAAUUUAACCACUUUUUCAAUUUAGUCCUUAUUAC
rnacentral:lncRNA from 1 species